GACUUGGAUUAAUACCGCAUGUGAUCGAAAGAUCAAAGACGGGGACCGCAAGGCCUGUCACUUCCCGAUUGGUCCGCGGCCUAUCAGCUAGUUGGCGGGGUCAAAGCCCACCAAGGCGACGACGGGUAGCUGGUCUGAGAGGACGACCAGCCACACUGGAACUGAGACACGGUCCAGACACCUACGGGUGGCAGCAGUCGAGAAUCUUUCACAAUGGGGGAAACCCUGAUGGAGCGACGCCGCGUGGAGGAUAAGGUCUUCGGAUUGUAAACUCCUGUCAUGCGUGAACAAGGCAGCCGGGUUAAUAACCUGUGCUGAUUGAUGGUAACGCAAGAGGAAGAGACGGCUAACUCUGUGCCAGCAGCCGCGGUAAUACAGAGGUCUCAAGCGUUGUUCGGAAUCACUGGGCGUAAAGGGUGCGUAGGUGGCGUGGUAAGUCAGAUGUGAAAGCCCGGGGCUCAACCUCGGAACUGCAUCCGAUACUACCAUGCUAGAGUACUGAAGAGGUGACUAGAAUUCUAGGUGUAGCAGUGAAAUGCGUAGAUAUCUAGAGGAAUACCAAAGGCGUAGGCAGGUCACUGGGCAGUUACUGACACUGAGGCACGAAGGCCAGGGGAGCAAACGGGAUUAGAUACCCCGGUAGUCCUGGCAGUAAACGGUGCACACUUGGUGUGGGAGGAUUCGACCCCUUCCGUGCCAGAGCUAACGCGUUAAGUGUGCCGCCUGGGAAGUACGGUCGCAAGAUUAAAACUCAAAGAAAUUGACGGGGACCCGCACAAGCGGUGGAGUAUGUGGCUUAAUUC
rnacentral:rRNA from 1 species